rnacentral:pre_miRNA from 1 species
AAUGGGAUAGCUGGGUCAAAUGGUUUUCCAUUCCACGUUUUCAGAGGAAUCUCCAUACUGCUUUGUAUAGUGGUUGUACCAAUUUGCAGUCCUAUCAGCAAU